rnacentral:lncRNA from 1 species
AAAGAAUGAAGGGAGGAAGCAUAAUUUCCUCAGUCUGAUAUCGUCUCCGCCGUUGCUGCUCCGCGGUUUCCGGCUAGUAGGGGAAAGCCCGCCGUUGUUGUUUUCUCCAGGGUCGACGGUUCGAGCCACGCCACGCUGCUGCUGGAUUCGGGCGAAGGGUACGCCGCCGAAUGCUGCUAUUCCAGAAUCGGCGAGGGCCAUUACCGAGGUCGGGAGUCGCCUGCCCUUCACCGCUCGACGCCGUCGACGCUGCUGCCCCCGCGAGUCGCCGCCCAGACGUCGUUUCUCGGCCUGACUAAGC